rnacentral:rRNA from 1 species
UACGAAGGGGGGCUAGCGUUGUUCGGAUUUACUGGGCGUAAAGCGCACGUAGGCGGAUCGUUAAGUCGGGGGUGAAAUCCUGGAGCUCAACUCCAGAACUGCCUUCGAUACUGGCGAUCUUGAGUCCGGAAGAGGUGAGUGGAACUCCUAGUGUAGAGGUGGAAUUCGUAGAUAUUAGGAAGAACACCAGUGGCGAAGGCGGCUUACUGGUCCGGAACUGACGCUGAGGUGCGAAAAGCGUGGGGAGCAAACAGG